rnacentral:rRNA from 1 species
ACGGGAGGCAGCAGUGGGGAAUAUUGGGCAAUGGGCGCAAGCCUGACCCAGCAACGCCGCGUGAAGGAUGAAGGUCUUCGGAUUGUAAACUUCUUUAAUCGGGGAAGAAAAAAAUGACCUACCCGAAGAAUAAGCAUCGGCUAACUCCGUGCCAGCAGCCGCGGUAAUACGGAGGAUGCGAGCGUUAUCCGGAUUUAUUGGGUUUAAAGGGUGCGCAGGCGGCACGUUAAGUCAGCGGUGAAAUGCAGGGGCUCAACCCCGGCACUGCCGUUGAAACUGGCGAGCUCGAGUACGGAUGAAGUCGGCGGAAUGUGAUGUGUAGCGGUGAAAUGCUUAGAUAUGUCACAGAACACCGAUUGCGAAGGCAGCUGACUAAUCCGCAACUGACGCUCAGGCACGAAAGCGUGGGGAUCGAACAGGAUUAGAUACCCUGGUA